UUUCUCGUUACCUGCCAAGUCUACAAAGGUGAGUUUCCCUCGUUUUGUGAGGUACAGAUUUUCAUCGUCAGGGUCCUGCUGUUCUGUGUCUAUGGUCAGGGUCAGCAUGCUGUGGCUUCUACUGGAGAACUCAUUCAGACCGUGAG